GUUUUUCUUCUGUGCUGGCCUGGCCAGGGAUUCUCCUCCUCACUGGCAACAGACCCCCAGAGUCACUCUGUUCCUUCAUCCUGCUUUGCUUAGGGUGGCUCACUUUCCAGCCUUGCCUCUGCUGUGGCCACCUGCCCAGGGACUCCUUUCCUGCUCUGUGGCCUGUGCCUGAACAGGAGCACAGUCAAGCCCUCCGACACUGCCUGGAUCAGAUGAGGAGGCAGAUCAUAGGAACCUUGAAGACAAGGAAUACAUCUCUCAUUUAUUUGUAUUUUCUAAAAUUCCAAGCAGUUUCAGACAUACCCCAGGACUAGGUAUCUCCCGUCUAAAUUGUGACCGCUACAGGGUUCAGAAAUACUGAGUGAACUGUGGGAUAGAUCCAUAUAAGUCUACACGUACAAGGAAUGAAGAGGAUUCUUGGAAGGAAAAUCAUUCCAAGAGAAGGAGUUGGACACGAAAAGGUUGACAAAACCUUAGUUACUGAAGGUAAGAGCAAGUCUGCAUUCAGCAUGGUGUCCCUGUCCCAGCUCAUUUCCUGUACCAGCAUGAGGACUAAUGCCUGAGGGAGUAAAAUGGAGACCCCCCAUGACAGGGGGAAACACAGAACAGGGAGGAGCCAUCCUGCUCUUUGAACUAGACACAGCCUUUUGACAACUGCAGCACUCCAGUGCUUCGCCUUGGGGUGGAGGAGAAUCUGGAGAAACUGGCAUGAGAGAAUUUCCACUCUUCGAAGCCUAGGGAACCCCAGGGGUGCCUUCAGGAGACUGUUGUGCCUGCAGCAUGUAGAAAACUCCCAUGAAAGUAAAAGUGGUUGUACUCAGCACUAAGGAGCCAAAGCAGGGGAGGAAGGAAACAGGAUCACCAACACAGCAGCCGACCCCAUGGUGUUUGGAUUUAUGGGAACUCAUGUGAAACACUCCCAAC